rnacentral:lncRNA from 1 species
GUAAAUAUAAAAGUGAACCACCAUAUAAUGGACAAAUAUCAAUGUAGUUGACAAUUUUUCCAACAUUAUAAACCUUAUAUUAAGAUUUAUAAUUUUGCUCAUUAUUUCAAGUGUUGGGUGUUAUCACUAUGUAUUAUAUAAAGCUGAAAAAACUAAUAUGACAUGUUGUAUUGGAUUGAUAUGCACCACCACCCAAUUAUAUUCACACCAAGCAUGCUCCAUUUUUCUCUUUUAAAUGGCCCUGAAAUAACCAAAUCAAUAAAUGUAAUUCCUAAUAGCCAUUCUUUCUUUGUGACAUUUCUAAAUAAGACAUCAUUCACAAUGCUUCAUCACAAAAGACUAUGAGAUAAUUUCUACUUACAAUUCAAUCAAAUUGUGAUGAUCCAAAAGACCAUGGUACAAUUGAAGUUGUUCGAAAUCCUUAGCAUAUAAGCUUUGAUAACCUUUAUGACAAAGAAAAUGGAUAAUCACGAUGAUUUAGAUAUAGUGAUACAACUUAGCAUUAUUAACAAAUCCAAAUUAGAGUUUACCUUUGUAAAAUGCAUCAUAUGAUUACUAUCAAGGUACUUAUUAUGGACACAUGAANN